GAUGAACGCUGACAGAAUGCUUAACACAUGCAAGUCUUUGGCGAAUCUGUGCUUGCACAGGCUAGCCAAGGCGGACGGGUGAGUAACGCGUAAAGAACUUGCCCUGCAGACAGGGAUAACAGACGGAAACGACUGAUAACACCUGAUACAGUUGCCGGCACGCAUGUGCCUGGCAAUGAAAAGAGAUGCUGCAGGAGAGCUUUGCGUCCUAUUAGCUUGUUGGUGAGGUGACGGCUCACCAAGGCGAUGAUAGGUAGCCGGCCUGAGAGGGUGAACGGCCACAAGGGGACUGAGAUACGGCCCUUACGCCUACGGGAGGCAGCAGUGGGGAAUAUUGGACAAUGGGGGCAACCCUGAUCCAGCAAUUCUGUGUGCACGAAGAAGGUUUUCGGAUUGUAAAGUGCUUUCAGCAGGGAAGAAGAAAGUGACGGUACCUGCAGAAGAAGCGACGGCUAAAUACGUG
rnacentral:rRNA from 1 species